rnacentral:rRNA from 1 species
AUUGAACGCUGGCGGCAGGCUUAACACAUGCAAGUCGAGCGAGCGGCGGACGGGUGAGUAAUGUCUGGGAAACUGCCUGAUGGAGGGGGAUAAAUACUGGAACAGGUAGCUAAUACCGCAUACCAUCAGAUGUGCCCAGAGGGGGUUAGCUAGUAGGUGGGGUAAUGGCUCACCUAGGCGCCGAUCCCUAGCGGGCCUGCGAGGAUGACCAUCCAAACUGGAACUGGAACACGUUCCAGACGCCUUCGGUAGGCAGCAGUGGGAGAGAUUGGACAAUGUGCGCAGGCCUGAGGCAGCCAUGCCGCGGGUGUGAAGAAGUCCUUCGGGUUGUAAAGCACUUGCAGCGAGGAGGCGUUACUCGCAGAGAAAGCAACGGCUAACUCCGUGCCAGCAGCCGCGGUAAUAC